rnacentral:rRNA from 1 species
GAUGAACGCUGGCGGCGUGCCUAAUACAUGCAAGUCGAGCGAACGGACGAGAAGCUUGCUUCUCUGAUGUUAGCGGCGGACGGGUGAGUAACACGUGGAUAACCUACCUCUAAGACUGGGAUAACUUCGGGAAACCGGAGCUAAUACCGGAUAAUAUUUUGAACCGCAUGGUUCAAAAGUGAAAGACGGUCUUGCUGUCACUUAUAGACGGAUCCGCGCUGCAUUAGCUAGUUGGUAAGGUAACGGCUUACCAAGGCAAUGAUGCGUAGCCGACCUGAGAGGGUGAUCGGCCACACUGGAACUGAGACACGGUCCAGACUCCUACGGGAGGCAGCAGUGGGGAAUCUUCCGCAAUGGGCGAAAGCCUGACGCAGCAACGCCGCGUGAGUGAUGAAGGUCUUCGGAUCGUAAAACUCUGUUAUUAGGGAAGAACAUAUGUGUAAGUAACUGUGCACAUCUUGACGGUACCUAAUCAGAAAGCCACGGCUAACUACGUG